AACGAACGCUGGCGGCAGGCCUAAUACAUGCAAGUCGAACGCUCCGCAAGGAGAGUGGCAGACGGGUGAGUAACGCGUGGGAACCUUUCCAGUGGUACGGAAUAGCCCAGGGAAACUCGGGGUAAUACCGUAUAAGCCCUUACGGGGAAAGAUUUAUCGCCAUUGGGUGGGCCCGCGUCGGAUUAGCUAGUUGGUGGGGUAAUGACCUACCAAGGCGACGAUCCGUAGCUGGUCUGAGAGGAUGAUCAGCCACACUGGGACUGAGACACGGCCCAGACUCCUACGGGAGGCAGCAGUAGGGAAUAUUGGACAAUGGGCGCAAGCCUGAUCCAGCCAGUGCCGCGUGAGUGACGAAGGCCUUAGGGUUGUAAA
rnacentral:rRNA from 1 species